rnacentral:rRNA from 1 species
UACGUAGGGGGCUAGCGUUGUCCGGAAUCAUUGGGCGUAAAGCGCGCGUAGGCGGCCCGGUAAGUCCGCUGUAAAAGUCCAGGGCUCAACCCUGGAAAGCCGGUGGAUACUGUCGGGCUCGAGUCCGGAAGAGGCGAGUGGAAUUCCUGGUGUAGCGGUGGAAUGCGCAGAUAUCAGGAGGAACACCAAUGGCGAAGGCAGCUCGCUGGGACGGUACUGACGCUAAGGCGCGAAAAGCGUG